rnacentral:misc_RNA from 1 species
UUUCCGUAGGUGAACCUGCGGAAGGAUCAUUAUUGUAUAAACGAGGUGCGAGAGCUCUCGCUAACCCGAAAGGUCUUGCACGCCCGAGUGCCCUCACACACAUCCAUCUCACCCCUAUGUGCACCACCGCGUGGGUCCCCCUUUGGCUUGUUCGGAGGGGGGCUUACAUUUUCACUCGAACUUUGUAUGCAGUGUAGAAUGUAUUUUUGUUUUUGCGAUCACGCAAUAAAUACAACUUUCAACAACGGAUCUCUUGGCUCUC